GUGCUCUCUUCAUCAGCACAUAUACUAAAAUUGGAACAUACAGAGAAGAUUAGCAUAGUCCCUGUGCAAGGAUGACACCCAAAUUUGUGAAGCAUUCCAUGUUUUU